GACGAACGCUGGCGGCGUGCUUAACACAUGAAAGUCGAACGGAAAGGCCCUGCUUUUGUGGGGGGCUCGAGUGGCGAACGGGUGAGUAACAGGGGAGUAACCUGCCCUUGACUUGGGGAUAACUUCGGGAAACUGGGGCAAAUACCGGAUAGGAGCUCCUGCUGAAUGGUGGGGGUGGGAAAGUUUCGGCGGUUGGGGAUGGACUCGCGGCUUAUCAGCUUGUUGGUGGGGUAGUGGCUUACCAAGGCUUUGACGGGUAGCCGGCCUGAGAGGGUGACCGGCCACAUUGGGACUGAGAUACGGCCCAGACUCCUACGGGAGGCAGCAGUGGGGAAUAUUGCACAAUGGGCGGAAGCCUGAUGCAGCAACGCCGCGUGCGGGAUGACGGCCUUCGGGUUGUAAACCGCUUUCGCCUGUGACGAAGCGUGAGUGACGGUAAUGGGUAAAGAAGCACCGGCUAACUACGUG
rnacentral:rRNA from 1 species